rnacentral:rRNA from 1 species
AUUCCAGCUCCAAUAGCGUAUAUUAAAGUUGUUGCAGUUAAAAAGCUCGUAGUUGGACCUGUGGCGUGUUGGGCGGUCCGGCAUUUGCCGGUACUGCUCGGCGUGCCAUCUUUGGGUGGAAUCUGUGUGGCAUUAAGUUGUCGCGCAGGGGAUGCCCAUCGUUUACUGUGAAAAAAUUAGAGUGUUCAAAGCAGGCUUACGCCGUUGAAUAUAUUAGCAUGGAAUAAUAAGAUAUGAUCUCGAUUCUAUUUUGUUGGUUUGCGUGUCGAGGUAAUGAUUAAUAGGGACAGUUGGGGGUAUUCGUAUUCCAUUGUCAGAGGUGAAAUUCUUGGAUUUCUGGAAGACGAACGACUGCGAAAGCAUUUACCAAGGAUGUUUUCAUCA